rnacentral:rRNA from 1 species
GGGCGAGAGCCUGAACCAGCCAAGUCGCGUGAAGGAAGAAGGUUCUAUGGAUUGUAAACUUCUUUUGUAAGGGAAUAAAAAAGGCCACGUGUGGCUUCUUGUAUGUACUUUACGAAUAAGGAUCGGCUAACUCCGUGCCAGCAGCCGCGGUAAUACGGAGGAUCCGAGCGUUAUCCGGAUUUAUUGGGUUUAAAGGGUGCGUAGGCGGACCCAUAAGUCAGUGGUGAAAGUUUGCAGCUUAACUGUAAAAUUGCCAUUGAAACUGUGGGUCUUGAGUGUAAAUGAGGUAGGCGGAAUGUGUUGUGUAGCGGUGAAAUGCUUAGAUAUAACACAGAACACCAAUUGCGAAGGCAGCUUACUGGGAUACAACUGACGCUGAGGCACGAAAGCGUGGGGAUCAAACAGGAUUAGAUACCCUGGUAGUCCACGCAGUAAACGAUGAAUACUAGCUGUAUGCGAUAUACUGUAUGUGGCAAAGCGAAAGCGUUAAGUAUUCCACCUGGGGAGUACGUUCGCAAGAAUGAAACUCAAAGGAAUUGACGGGGGCCCGCACAAGCGGAGGAACAUGUGGUUUAAUUCGAUGAUACGCGAGGAACCUUACCCGGGCUUGAAAUGCAGAGGAAUGACUUG